rnacentral:lncRNA from 1 species
CCUGGAAUCAGCUGCCUGUAAACUGGAAAUGAGGGUGAUCAGGGAGGGAGGCACUGCUUCUGCGAUCACUCAAGUGACCGGGAAGCCAGGGGUGCCGCAGGCAAUCAGGAUGACUCCCGGAAGAGACACCCCGAGCCCAGCCCAAUCAUCAUCCGGGCCAGGGCCAGCAGGGAGACGGCAUCUGAGAAGGCAUCGGGCACAACCAGGGGCAAGCAGGUGUGAGCACAAGAAGGUUGGGGUGGGGGCGGGGGCUGACUGUUGGCCCUGCCCUGGCAUCUGCCUGUGCUGGGUGCCACGGUCCCGCUGUGUGGUCCCCUUCUUUCCUUAGCCACCCCUUUGUCCAGGUGGCUGAGACUUUCCCCCAGUGGGGACAGAUGGACCGGGAGAGGCC